rnacentral:antisense_RNA from 1 species
UGUAAUGGCGGCUGUACGCGGGGCACACUCGUGUGCGCCAGUUUGGGUGGUUGCUGGUCUGUCAACCCACGUACAGCUGCCACCCAU